AACUGGUGUUCAGUUUGAAGCUAUUCUAAUAUAUCCAGGUAAUUUUAAUUAUAAUUCUGAUAGUAUCGAAUUAAUGUAAUAACUAAUAACGUAAGCUUUUAUUAAAAUGUUUAACGAAUGUAACAAAUAUAGAAAUGACGUAAAGUGUAUGAAUACUUCAAUUUCAUGAGUCAACCUUUUUCAACCAGAAUUAGGCCUGUCAAUACUCGAAGUGCUUUGUUGAGCGGAGAAUGCUUCGAUUAACUGCAACAAUGGUCAUUCUGACUAUUUUGAAUAUAACUAGCAUUUGAUAAAAAAAAACGAUGCUUAACCUAUGGCGCUUAUUCGAGGAAGACGUUGAUCAGAUGGCGGCGUUUAUUCGUUUCAGACGUAUAUUUCAGUACGUGUGGUGUAAGUUCGUGUCAAUGAUAUCAUAAUGUAAACAAAACACGGAGCAAAGGUAAUAAAGCAUGUUAAGAGAAUUUUUUGUAU